rnacentral:lncRNA from 1 species
AUCCUCAUGUUGGUCAUAUGUGGCAAUGCACUCGUUUGUCUUAACUGUCCACAGCUUUACCAAACCAUCAGCACCUGGAGCUUAUACACAGAACACCUGAACUAACAUAUGUUGGAUGUUCAUGUAUCAACAUUCAAAUACUCCACAUAAUCACCAUUGCAGAAGCAACUGUUUAAUCCUUUUCAAAGAGAAUUCUACAACAUAUCCCACAGUCCACAUAUAUAAGAGAUCUCAACCAUUUUUAUGGGCCAACAUAUUGUCUAUAAACAUACAUUCCACCAUUACAAACAUAACAUAGGCUAACUAACAUAAAGUGACAAGCAAUCUCAUGACUAUAGAAUUAAAAUAAUUUAAAAGCAUAAAAUGACAUUUGAUAAACCACAUGCCAUGAAACUUCCACUGAAUUAUACAACUCUAGAUUUCCAACUCUUACAUAUCUAGAGAUCUUAGAGAGUACCUGCGAAAGCAAAGCAAAGGAAAGGGUUAGAAUCAGUAGAGCAGAGCAAUAGCAGCAGGUUCAAGAGCCGAAAUCAACAUUUAAAUAACCAAAAAACUGCUCUAAACCCAGGAUGACAGAUAAUCAUUCAACUUAUCAAGCUUGAACCAAAUCAACUGCCCAGCAGGACUCUAACCAAGAUAUUGACCACCAAAUUUAAACCAUUUCUCACUCAGUCGAGAAAGAAAACCAAAAAUUAGUGAAGAUUUGAUGAAAUGGUAGACCUUUUAAAAUAUCAGCAGUCUCAGAUUUUCUAAACAUUUAUCUAAUAAUUGUAACUUGAGAGUCAAGUUAAGAUGCCUUUAUAGGCAAGGUUUUAGGAAAGCUCUCAGAAUUGUAUUUUGGCUUUUGCCCCUUUGUGAAUUUUUCUUUUUGCUUAGGAGUCCUUCUUUUGUUAACCAUUUAAUCAAGCAAGACCCCUUUUUAGCUUCUAAGAAGAUUCAUAUUGCAGUUACUUUAAGAUUCCCUCAAAAAAAAUACAUAAGCUACCCUCCAAUACUCUGAAAUUAACCCCUGGCCCAAUGGAAACCGGGGUCAAAACAACUAGGCCACUGUGAAUUGGUCAUGAAUGACUCAAAGAACCCAAGGUUGAUUCAGAACCAACCCAAAUGAACAUUCCACUUCAACUCUGUCCAAGCCUCAGUAAAAUUAUUCUAAAAUUUUUAUUCUUAAGAAAAACAAAAUCUGAAAUAUCACAAUUACUCCUAAACCAACUUACUACAAAUUAACCAAAUUGUUUAAACACAUAAAUCAAUUUACCGGGAAUCACAACUUGACCAAGCAUGCAUAAUCAGAAAACUCAAAACAACAUAAUCAAAAGAAAGGAGAUAAAGCAGAAAAACAAUGCAAAAUAUGUACACAACCAAAAAACGAACAAUGAUGACACCUAGAACUGACCGAAACAAAUUUGCUAUAACUCUGAUAAUCUACCUCAAUUCCUCGACUGGAAUAGCCCUUAAUCGUGUGUUUUCAUAUGAAAACACACGAAUAAGGCCCAUUAUAGUCAAACAUAGCCAAUAGUUUCGCUGAUUAAGAUUUUAAGGACUUUACGGCUUUCUUUCCAAAUCAAAUUCGAAGAACUUGGGGGUGACUUGAGGGAAAACCUUUGUGAAUUUUAUAGGAGAGAUGUGAGGGGGCUUCAUGGUGUAAAUUAUUUGUUUGGUGGAGGCGCCGUAGGACACACCGAAAGUUUGGAAGACAACGGCUAUGGUUUGGGAUAUUCGAGGAGUUCUAGUGGGAUUUGAAGGGAACCAACGGUGGAUUCGUGAUGUGGAAGGGGAGAGGAAGCUUUAGUGUGAGUUUGGCUGUUAUUGGGGAUUGGUCGUUGCCAUGGGCGAUUUCCUACGUCGGUAGACGGCGGGAACAUGCUGUCUCGAAGGUUUUAAGAGAGAAGAGAGAUGAAGGGAUGGGGGUCGUGCAUGAAAUAUGAGAAGAAGAAGUGUAAAGCACGAAAUGUGAUACCGUGCAUGAUAUUGUGAGUGAGUGUAAUUCACAAAGGGUGAUGUCGUGCCGAUAAUAUGAGCGAUAAUGAACUAAGGGUAAUAUCGUGCAAUGAUUUGAGAGUAAAUGCACGAAGUGUGAUACCGUUCCGAUAUUAUGGGGAAUAAUGCACAAAAGGUGAUGUUGUUCCAUGAUUAUGAGAGGUAAUGUACUAAAGGUGAUGCUAUGUCAUUUCUGUUAUUUCAUAUAGUGAGGACGAAAGCAAAAGCACAUAAGGCAAUGUUGUGCACGUGUUACUGUUUCACUAUUCUUGUCGAUAUAGAUAUGAUGUUCAUUAUGAUUCUCUAUACAUGCCUCUGUAUUUGUUUAUUGUUAGAAUCUGAUAUUCCCCGCAGCAUGUCCCUUCCCAACUUUUUCUAUUUAUUCAUGCUAGUAUGAUUCUGUUUGUAUACUGUCACACCUUCUUCUUCACUACACCCACAAGAACGUAAAGGAGUUCUUCCACUUAAAGCACAAUGAAAACGAGAUUUAGUUAUUAAUUAUUCACAGAUGCCACUUGGUAGAUUAAUGGUGUCCCAAGUAACCGGUUGAAUCUCGAACCGAGGAAAUUAUGACUCUGUUAAUAGUCCGCGAACUAGAAAUCCGAGUAAGGAAUUCUGUUAACCCGGGAGAAGUUGUUAGGCAUUCUCGAGUUUCCUUCUAGCACAGCCGUUCCACUAUUUUAUUUGAUUUUAAUACAUUGUAGCUUAUGUGUCAUUUACUUGUAAUAUGCUUUUUAUCAUUGUUUAUUUUAAAAGAAUUGCAACGUCACGAUAAUACGUUUCGAACCACGUUGUAGUUAAUACACCCGUGGUUGUCAACACAUUAAGACUUCGUCAAGAUUUGGAUUUUGGUUACAUCAAUGCGCACCCGAGUUUAACGACAUAUUUUAAUAAAAUCGCCCCUAAAGGUUCUAACAUAAUAUUAUUUUGGGGAAGGCCGUGAAGUUUGUUAAACGGUCCUCCCAAAUUCUAAUCAUUUUAAACAACCAUUUAUUGAGAGACCCCCAUUUAUUUAUUUUAUUCGGUAAGGCUCGUCUCAUUUUGUAAACGUCUUUUCGAUCAUUAUUUAUUUUAUAAGAAUUACGACGUCGUGAAAAAGUGUUUCGAACCCCGUCGCAAUCAAUGUGCCCGUGAUUGUCAACACAUUUGAUUUUGUCGAGAUUUGAAUUUAGGUCGCAUCAAUGCGCACCCGAGUAUAUGAAAGUAAUUUAAUUAAAUUGUGUCUAAAUAUUCUAGCGUAAUAUUAUUUUGGAGAAUGCCAUGUAAUUCACUAAACGGCCCUCCCGUAUUCUAAUUACUUUAAUAACCAUCUAUUGAGCUCGUCUCCUGAUUAUUUUAGAGGCCAAAUUCAAACGUAAUUAAGAUUUUUCUUGCAGGCUAGAUCUUAUUAUUAUAAAGCUACCAUAUUCUAAUGAGGCCGUGGCUGUUUGGCCACAGGCCCAAAGGGCCCAAAUUGUUUCAGCAGCCAUAAAAGGACGAGACUCCCCGCGAACAAUAAAAAUUGGGCUGGACAUUGGCCCAAUAAAUAUCAAUGUAUCAUAUUGUGUUGGUACAUUGGAUCGAAUCCCCCAGCUGGGACACUUACUCGAUUUUUGCAUGCAAUAGCCAGAGUUACAUGGACACAUUUAUCAGACAACGACAAUGACAACACUGUAAUCUUGAAAAUUUAUGCUAAUCCAUUUAUCUAAUGACUAAUUAUCUUACAAAAAUGAACUGGUGGAAUCACAUGCUCGAUUUGAAUAAAUCACUAAUACCAAAUCCUUGAAUUACCAGAAGCAUUAAACUCACAGAUGGACUAUUGCAUUUAUUUGGAACACAUGAAUUCAUUGAUUUCAAAUAGCAAGCUUAAUUUGGUCCUGAUUUCGAACUUUCAACAAAAAUAGACCAAUGGGAAAGUAAAUACUAAUACAAUUAACAACUUAACAAACUACUACAACUGGAAAAAAAAAUCUAGCAACUCCCAAUCGUUUCUUAACAGAAAAGUUGAAACUAGAUAAAACAAUCCUAUAAACUUAUUCUAACUGCGGAAGUUCAGAUUCAGUCCAGCUGUAGGUGAUUUACGUUAAUUGAGGAUAGUUCUUCUUGAAUAAUUCCUAAUCUACUACAAAUCAAAAUCAGCAAAAACUGAAGUUUAAACAAAGCAUAUAUGAACAAAUAGGCAACUGCAUCCUCAAGUCUCCAUUUUCAUACCAAUUGCAAAGUGUGUACAAAAGGGGUGUACCUGAAUUUGUGAACCACAGCAAGAGAAAACACUAGUCAGCAAAGACAAACAAUUAACACAGCAGCAAAUAAUCUCAGCCAGCAGAUUCCAACACCCAGUAGAAUUUCAAUAGCCAGAAAUGUUUUAAAACAUACAAUAACACCACAGAUUGCUCCCAAACAGCCUUGAAUUGGUCUGAUCUCGCCAAAUUUCUACUUAAGCUGAUUCAAUUAUCCUUGGAAUGGACUUUAACACACUAAUCAACAGAAGAAUUGAUUACAACUGUGAAUUAACUAAUAGAAGCUCUUAUUCUCAAUGGAACAGUAACGAUUGGUAUAUUUUUUUGAAAGUUUUUGAUUUGUUUUUUUUUUUUUUUUUUUUUUUUUUUUUUUUUUU